CCGGCGCACGGGUGAGUAACACGUAGGUAACCUACCUCCGAGUUCGGGAUAACCUGUCGAAAGAUAGGCUAAUACCGGAUAAGACCACGAUGGCUUCGGCCACUGCGGUCAAAGAUGGCCUCUAUUUAUACGCUAUCGCUUAGGGAUGGGCCUGCGCACCAUUAGCUAGUUGGUGAGGUAAUGGCUCACCAAGGCUACGAUGGUUAGUUGGUCUGAGAGGAUGACCMGCCACACUGGGACUGAGACACGGCCCAGACUCCUACGGGAGGCAGCAGUGGGGAAUAUUGCGCAAUGGGGGAAACCCUGACGCAGCGACGCCGCGUGGGUGAUGAAGGCCUUCGGGUCGUAAAGCCCUGUCGGAGGGGAAGAAGGACUCUCGUGCAAAUAGUUCGAGGGUUUGACGGUACCCUUAGAGGAAGCACCGGCUAACUCCGUGCCAGCAGCCGCGGUAAUACGGAGGGUGCAAGCGUUGCUCGGAAUUACUGGGCGUAAAGGGCGUGUAGGCGGUUUCGUAUGUCUGGCGUGAAAGCCCCGGGCUCACCUCGGGAAGUGCGUCGGAAACUGCGAGACUAGAGUCCCGGAGAGGGAGGUGGAAUUCCAGGUGUAGCGGUGAAAUGCGUAGAUAUCUGGAAGAACACCGGUGGCG
rnacentral:rRNA from 1 species